AGAUCUUUCUCACUUCCCUUCAAAUUUCCCGGUUCAUCUCAUUUGAGUAUUUUGUCGAAAAACACGAAGGGCUCCUGAUGAUGAUGAAUCGGGGGCAUACACAGAUCCAAGCACAUCUUCUUCUUCAUUCUCUUUCCCUAUGUGUCAUUCAUUUGAUUAUCUCUUCACUGCUCUGACUGGAAACGAGGCAGAAAAA
ensembl:ncRNA C51E3.11 ncRNA